UGUGAAAGUCGGGGCGAAGCCUGAAGUCCGGCGGUACCGCGGGGAAGGGUGAGCGCUUGUGCAACGGGGCCUUCAUACUCCACGAAUCCCCACAUUUGCACACUACACUGCACACAUUUCAUAUAUCUACACAAGGAUGCGCACACCACCCAACACACAAAUGUGACGUGAUUACACAACAUCCGUCUGCCCCGCUACACGUACGUACGUCCCACUCACGUUCACUGGGUGCAAAAGGCGAGUUCCGAGGGUGCAGCGUCCGAGGCCCAGCGGGGAGGGAUGACACCGACUUCCAAGUGAGUGCGCCUCAGUGUUUUAAGAACAAAGUGUAAAACAAAGACUGUGAUGUACACUGCCUGGCACACACUGAUGAAAUGCCCAGAGAUACAGCAGCCAUCGUGCAAACAUAAUAAUGGUGAUGCAAUCACACAUUGAGCAAAGCACAGCAGGAAGAUGAGAAGACCCAGGACCCCUGUAAUAUAACAAUGAAUUUAAAAACUGGAAGUGCAUGUUUAAUGAAAAAUUAAGAAUCAAAUUCAUUUCCAAGAAAGUUGAUGAUGGAACACAUGAUUUGCACAAAAUAACGACAUUUACUAUUCUCUGUGAGGACCAGAAUGGUAUCACUGAUCACAUGAAAACCAAAAGAAAUAAAACUGCUGAAGAAGCACCAACAUAUACUUCAAAGGCGACAAUUUAACGGGAGCAGCUGCAACCGGUACAUUUAACAUCACUCUGCAAAACACAACUUCAUUUAAAUCAAGUGAUUUAAUUCACUGACAAAUGACAAAUGAUCCAAUUCACAUUAUGCGCACACAAAAGCCAAGCUGUUUAUAUGCUGAUUUCAUUAAAAAAACCUUGCAAACAGCUAAAGGACAUCAGUUUUACAUCAGUGUCAUCAGGUAUGUUAAAUAGAAAAUCUGUUAAUUCAAAUAAUGGUUCAAUUUUUCUAACUUGAUCAUAGAACCAAAAUUAAACU